GCCUCUGUAGUUCAGUUUGUUAGAGCGCUGCACCGGAAUCGCAGGGCCGUAGGUUCAAUUCCUACCAGAGGAC